CGUCGCCGACGUGCCCUAGUGCCAUCGAUAGAAGCCACAACCGUCGCCUGAGAAGAACCCGAAGAGAGAGAGGGAGCCCGCAAAGAGGAACCCGAAGCAGGAACUUUCGUGUCGCGCCGUAGAUCUGUCACCAUGCUACUGGGCUGUCGCCACCACCGAAGGUCCAUCGUCGUCGCCCUGAGUUGUUUCUGCCGUCCAAGCCAUCAAUGAAAAGAGCCUUGCUACUGUGUGCUAAGUGGAAGAGGAGCCACUAUCGGAAGAAGAUGCCGCUGCUGCUGCUGAUCUGAUUUAAGGCUAUUGCUGCUGCUGCGGGUUGGAACGAAGUUGAAGUCACGCUUAAUUUUGUGGUUUUUGACUAUCUAAGCUACUCUGGAUGUGAUUCUCAGUUGGAAAGAGAGAGAGGGAGAACUUGAAAA